rnacentral:rRNA from 1 species
UUCGGAAUAUUCGGCAAUGGACGAAAGUCUGACCGAGCGACGCCGCGUGCGGGAUGAAGGCCCUUUGGGUUGUAAACCGCUGUCACAGGUGAGCAAAUCACGUUCAGUGAACAACUGGACGUGUUGAGUUAAGCUUGAGAGGAAGCCCCCGCUAAUCACGUGCCAGCAGCGGCGGUAAUACGUGAGGGGCGAACGUUGUUCGGUGUCACUGGGCUUAAAGGGUGCGUAGGUGGCUGCGUAAGUAACGUGUGAAAGCCCUCGGCUUACCCGGGGAAUUGCGCGUUAUACUGCGCGGCUUGAGGAUUUCAGGGGAAAGGGGAACUCCGAGUGUAGCGGUGAAAUGCGCAGAUAUUCGGGGGAAGGCCGGCGGCGAAGGCGCCUUUCUGGGAAAUUCCUGACACUGAGGCACGAAAGCGUGGGGAGCAAACAGGAUUAGAUACCCCUGUAGUCC